CCUACGGGUGGCUGCAGUGGGGAAUAUUGGACAAUGGGGGGAACCCUGAUCCAGCCAUGCCGCGUGUGUGAAGAAGGCCCUCGGGUUGUAAAGCACUUUCAGUGAGGAAGAACGCCUGGUGGUUAAUACCCAUCAGGAAAGACAUCACUCACAGAAGAAGCACCGGCUAACUCCGUGCCAGCAGCCGCGGUAAUACGGAGGGUGCGAGCGUUAAUCGGAAUUACUGGGCGUAAAGCGCGCGUAGGUGGCUUGAUAAGCCGGUUGUGAAAGCCCCGGGCUCAACCUGGGAACGGCAUCCGGAACUGUCAAGCUAGAGUGCAGGAGAGGAAGGUAGAAUUCCCGGUGUAGCGGUGAAAUGCGUAGAGAUCGGGAGGAAUACCAGUGGCGAAGGCGGCCUUCUGGACUGACACUGACACUGAGGUGCGAAAGCGUGGGUAGCAAACAGGAUUAGAUACCCUAUAGUC
rnacentral:rRNA from 1 species